UAAUACGGGGGGAGCAAGCGUUGUUCGGAUUUACUGGGCGUAAAGGGCGCGUAGGCGGCCAGCACAAGUCAGUUGUGAAAUCUCCGAGCUUAACUCGGAAAGGUCAACUGAUACUGUGCGGCUAGAGUGCAGAAGGGGCAACUGGAAUUCUUGGUGUAGCGGUGAAAUGCGUAGAUAUCAAGAGGAACACCUGCGGCGAAGGCGGGUUGCUGGACUGACACUGACGCUGAGGCG
rnacentral:rRNA from 1 species